rnacentral:tRNA from 1 species
GGCGGGCCGGGGCGCGGUGAGGCCGGGGCACUCGUGGUGCCCCGGCCUCACUCGUUCGUUCCUCGCGGCGUUUCGGGGGUGCCGGUCCGCCG